ACUUCCGAAGAGAGAACCGCCAUGAAGAGAGUAGGGGGUGCCGCCCACCUCUGCACCGACAGCCUCCCCGAGUCCCAGCAGCAAGACGGCAACCACGCACCCAGCUUCUCCAGCCACAGCUCAUGCCGCCGUCGCCAGCGGCGCCGACAUGACAAGGCGCUGCAUGCCCGCUAGGCCAGGUUUCCCCUCAUCCCCAGCCCCGGGGUCGUCGCCCCCGCGCUGCCAUCUGAGACCCGGUAGUACCGCCCCUGCUGCAGCGGGAAAAAGAACAGAGAGUCCUGGGGACAGGAAACAGUCAAUCAUAGAUUUCUUCAAGCCAGCUGCAAAACAAGACAAACAUAUGUUGGAUUCGCCUCAAAAAUCAAACAUCAAAUACAGAGGAAAUGGAUUAUCCAUCACUGGGACAGAGCAAUUUGAAAGGAAAUUAUCUUCACCAAAAAAACUUAAACCUAAGAGGAUGUCAUCAGAAGAAAGUCCUAUUUUAGAGGCUUUCAUGAAAGGUGGGAAGGAGCACCACAAAGAUCGUGGUGUCCAUGAGUCACGGCGGCCUUGUAUGUCUCUAAGCAAAUAUUUACCCAAAGGAGCUGGCAUCUAUGCUCCUUCCUCUUAUCGAUUGCCCAAAGAGAUCAAGGCACAGAAGAAAAAACACCAGUCUCCUGAGAGAAGGAAGUCACUGUUCAUUCAUGAAAGUAACAGGGAGAAGAAUGACAGAGAUCGAGGCAAGAACAGUGAAGACUCCAGAAAACAGGCCACAGCCACAGAAGGUGACAUCUUCAAGCAUAGCUCCAGAAGUAUUAGUAGCAGAAGCAGCCUGUCCAGGCACCAUCCAGGAGAAAGCACACUGGGGGCUAGGUUCCAGCUGUCAUUAGCUUCUUACUGCCGAGAGCGAGAACAGAAGAAGUUGAGAAAGGAACAAAUGGAGCAGAGAAUCAACUCGGAAAAUUCUUUCUCAGAAGCAAGCAACCUUUCCUUAAAGUCGUCUGGUGUAGGGAAAAACUGUAAGCCGAGGCAUGAGCAUAGCAAGCACACUGAGGCUGUACCUGGGAAGAGUAAUCUCUCAACUCUGGAAAAUGGACAUCUCUCAAGAAAAAGAUCAUCUUCAGACUCGUGGGAACUUUCAGGCUCUAAACAGAAUAAAUUCUCCGACAAAAGAAAGAGGAACUCUGUGGACUCAGACCUGAAAAGCACAAAAGAACCUAUCAUACCAAAAGCAAGAGAGUCCUUUCUAGAGAAGCGCCCAGACACAUCCCAUCAGAGAGAAAAGUUUAUCAGACACAUUGCACUGAAGACUCCUGGUGGUGUUCUGCGCUUGGAAGACAUAGCCAAGGAGCCUGAGGACGAGACAGAUCGCUCUUCUGCAGACUCGGCACCUUCAAAUGCUGGCCACCAUUCUUCCAGGAAUAGUGACCAAGUCCACUCAGCAAGUACCAAAGAGACUAAAAUACAGAAACCCCACUUACCUUUACCUCAGGAAAAAUCUACAAUUAAAAGAGCUAGCAACCUUCAGAAAAACAAACCGGCUGGCUCUGUGACAUCAAAAGAGACAAAGCUACCUUUACUUUCCCAUGUUCCAAGUGCUGUUUCCUCUCGAGUACCACUAAAUGCUAAAAAUUGCACUCUUCCAGUUCCUAAAAAAGAUAAAGAGCGUUCCUCCUCAAAAGAACGUUCUGGGCAUUCUACAGAAUCCUCCAAACACAAGGAACACAGAGCAAAGACUAUUAAGGCUGUUUCUAAUGAAUCGUCAGGGAAAAAUUCUGGGGGAUCUUUGCAUUCAGAGUAUGCCCCUCCAACAGCAUCUCCCCCAGCUGCCUUGGAAGUCGUGCCGAGUGUCCCAAGCCCUGCAGCACCUUCAGAUAAAGAGAGUUCAGGAAAUUCCAAUGCAGGUAGCAAUGCACUGAAAAGGAAAUUCAGGGGUGAUUUUGAUAGUGAUGAAGAAAGUUUAGGUUACACCUUAGAGAGUGAUGAGGAAGAGGAAACACUAAAAUCACUGGAAGAAAUAAUGGCUCUGAACUUCAGUCGGACUCCUACAACUUCAGGAAAGCCUCCUGCGGUUUCCAAGGGGCUUAGAUCCCAGUCGUCAGACUACAUGGUAAGAAGUUCUAUGAUAACUUGUCUUCACUUGACGGGGAAAGUUGGAUUAACUAAAGAAGAUAGAUUGUUAACUUACUUUAAAAUUCAGUGUUUACUACAGCUCAUCGUUAGAUUGACAUGAGUGUGAAUUCUUGUUUGGUAACUGAGUUCCCCAUAUCUUCAAUUUUAUUGUUAAUCAGUGGUCUCCAAACUUUUUUGAUCACAUGUACUUUUUUAUUAAAAGGAAACUUUUAAGCAUGUACCCCAGUAUAUAUAUGUAACUUAUAUAUUCUAUACAUGUACCACUAUAAUACUGUGUACUUUUGAAAUAAAGUAUAUACAGAAAACAGAUUUAGAAAGAAAAAGAAAAUAAGUAUUUCCUGUGGCAGUUACAUAGAAGUUACUAUAGAUUAAGUUCUACUGGAGUUUCUAUAGACGUUCCAUAUAAAUAGAAGUUCUAUUAUUUUCUUCCUGCACCCCAAUGGAUCACCUUGCACACCCCCUGCUUUGGAGACCACUGCUGUAAAUGAAGGAAUAUGCUCAGAGCGGAACUUACACAAAUACCUUAGAGCGACUAGUAAAGGAGAUGGAAGACACGCAGAGGCUAGAUGAACUACAGAAGAAGCUACAGGAAGACAUAAGACAAGGCCGUGGCAUUAAAUCUCCUCUCAGAACUGGCGAUCAGGAUAGUACAGAUGAUGGUGAUGGCCUCUUGGAAGAACACAGGGAAUUUCUAAAGAAAUUUUCAGUUACAGUUGAUGCUAUUCCUGAUCAUCAUCCAGGUGAAGAAAUAUUUAAUUUCCUCAAUUCUGGAAAAAUUUUCAAUCAGUAUACCUUAGAUUUAAGAGACUCUGGUUUUAUUGGAGAAAGUGCUGUGGAAAAGCUUAUUCUCAAAUCAGGAAAAACAGAUCAGAUUUUUUUGACAACACAAGGCUUCCUUACCACUGCAUAUCACUACGUCCAAUGUCCUGUACCUGUGUUAAAGUGGCUGUUUCGGAUGAUGUCGGUUCACACAGAUUGUAUUGUGUCGGUGCAGAUUUUAAGUACAUUGAUGGAAAUAACCAUUAGAAAUGAUACUUUCAGUGACUCUCCAGUUUGGCCCUGGAUCCCAUCUUUGUCUGAUAUAGCAGCUGUAUUCUUCAACAUGGGCGUUGGUUUUGGAUCUUUGUUUCCUCUGGAGACUCUUCAGCCUGACUUUAAUGAAGAAAAUCUAAUUUCUGAAACACAGAAAACACUGGGGGGAAAAGAAAGUGAAGAUUCACCUUAUAGUCCAGUAUUUUCAGCUCUUCCUGAAACCAACAUUUUAAAUGUGGUUAAGUUCCUAGGUCUGUGCACAUCUAUACAUCCAGAAGGUUACCAAGAUGGAGAAUUAAUGCUGCUGAUUUUAAUGCUGUUUAAAAUGAGUUUGGAAAAAGAGCUUAAACAGAUUCCAUUAGUAGACUUUCAGAGCCUCCUGAUAAAUCUCAUGAAAAACAUCAGAGAUUGGAACACAAAGGUUCAUGAACUCUGUCUGGGCAUAAAUGAACUCUCCAGUCAUCCCCAUAACCUUCUUUGGUUGGUACAGCUAGUCCCUAACUGGACAUCUCGUGGAAGGCAGCUGAGGCAGUGCCUCAGUCUGGUGAUGAUGUCAAAGCUUUUGGAUGAAAAGCAUGAAGAUAUUCCUAAUGCCAAUAACCUUCAGAUCUCGGUCCUGCAUCGAUAUCUUGUGCAGAUGAAGCCUUCUGAUUUGUUGAAGAAAAUGGUCUUGAAGAAAAGGGCCGAACAGCCAAAUGAAACUAUUGAUGACAGUCUUCAUUUAGAACUUGAAAAGCAGGCAUAUUACCUGACCUACAUCCUUCUUCAUUUAGUUGGGGAAGUUAGUUGCUCUCAUUCUCUUUCUUCUGGACAACGGAAACACUUCGUGCUGCUUUGUGGGGCUUUGGAAAAGCAUGUUAAGUGUGAUAUUAGGGAAGAUGCAAGACUUUUCUACAGAACUAAAGUGAAAGACUUGGUUGCCAGAAUACAUGGAAAAUGGCAGGAAAUAAUUCAGAACUGUCGGCCUACUCAGGGGCAGCUUCAUGACUUCUGGGUGCCAGAUUCUUAACAGAAGUUAGAGCAGCAGAAAUACAAACAAGGGCCUCUCCGAGAGGAUUACUGUGGGAUGCAGAGAUGCUGAGGGGCACGGCUGUGUGCUGCUCGCAUGCGUGGUGUGAGGCUGCUGGUGAAGACUUUCCCAUUUCUGAAGCAGAGAUGAAGAUAUGCCAUCUGCAGCCGAUGCUAGAGGGAAGACCAGGGGCCGAGGAAAGAAGGCGAGGGAAGCUGCUGGUAGCUACAGAUCCAGGCUGCCCCUCCCCUCCUUGCUACGUUUUCAGCAGUUACCUUGUAAGGUGGCUUCAUAACACUUGGAUCAUCACAGAAAAGAAGAAGAAAAGUGUGGACCAGCUUGAGUUGGACAUUGAAAUGAAGGCCUAAGUCCAGCUGGUUUUCAGUUCCCUUCUGGUUAUUUUAGGGUACAAAGGGAAGGCUUAGAAUAGAGCCCUGUAAUUAGAAGUGUUGGUCUCUUCUAUAACCCAUAAACCAUAGGCAGUUUCAGCCCAUAUAUAUCCCUUAGUAUUCAAAAUUAUAAAUCUGAGAUUUUUAAAUAUAUUUAAAAUCAAGGAAUAGACAUCUGGUAUGUUGUCAGACUGCCCUUAGAGGAAGAGAUUAAGCUAUAAAAUAGUGACUGUUUUUAAAAUGCCAGAACAUUCAUAGGCAGUUUGUUUAGGGUUUCUUGUAAUGCAUAUAUUUUUAAAUACUGAUUUAAUCAUAAAAUCUCAGCUAAGCUAGAAUUCUGGCCAUUGGUAACUCUAUUACAGAAGUCUGUGUAAAAAGGCUUCAAAAUCUGGAAGUUUCCAAAAUCCUUGUUUCCACAAGUAUCAUUUAGCAGAGGCCUUGAUGGUGUUUAUUUUGGGGACAUGCAUGUGAGUGUGUGUGUGUGUGUGUGUGUGUGUGUGUGUGUGUGUGUGUGUGUGUGUGUGUGCACGCGCGCGUUCGCGCACAUGUACACGCACACUCAAGUUUGUAUCUUGAAGUUGUUGCACUUGAAAACCACAGCUGCUCUAAAUUCUUUUAAACACUGGAAAGCCAUCCUUUAGUUUAGAUGGUCGAGGGUUAGCAGAGGUGCACAUGCUAGAUUGAGCCUUAGGCCCUUUGAAAACUUUGGUAGUGACACUCCUGUUGACAGGUGUCAGUUUGGGGAGGUUUGCUUCCUAAAAAGGAUGCCAACUGCUUAUUCUUUGACUAUUGGCUGGAGCAAGUGGCUUGCUCCCUCUUGAGCAUGCUAAUGUGUGUGUGGGUCCAGGUCAGGUGGUGGAAAAGGGAACUGGGCUCAGUGUUAAGGUUUGAGAGGAGAAAAUAAGUUCUGAGAGCUAACUCUUUCUACCUCUAAACUGAGGCUUAGGAAUAAAAACCAUUGUAUCUUAAAUUCAUCAUUUAAAUUAGCAUUAGCGACUUUAUAGCUCCUGUCAAGCAUUGGGCAGUUAGAGAUUUUAUAGAGAAGACUACACAAAUCACAUUUUCAAGAAUUGAGGCUGAUCGAGGCUCCAAGAGUCAGACCAACAAGUUUUAUUCUGUGUUGAGUUUACUGGUAAGAAUAUUGUCUUGAUGCUACCUCUCAAGGGUAUUGUUACAAAUGCCACUAUGGUUAAAGAGAUAGAUACGAAGAGCUAUAUUUGACUGAAGCUUGAAACUCUGGCAUCUAUCUGCCCAACGGUGGGGCUCUCACUCUGUAAUUUAAUCCUUGUAGAUACAUUGUUUGUGUGUAAUUUUAUAAGUGUUCAUAUUUUUCUCAUUUUGCAUUGUGUAAAGUGUACAAAAUCUCAAAGUAUAAAAAUCUGCUUAUAUUGCUUGUAAUUACAGUGUGUAAAUAUUUUCUAUUGUGUACAUUGACGGGGACAAGUGGGUUAUUCAGGUUUUUAAGUGAUCCUUUUAUAUUGCAGUUUCAACCAAUAACCACCCAUCAAAUUUAAAACCACUUUGAUACAUUCUUAUUUAGCAGGUCCUAUAAGAAUAAAAUCUCUAUUUUCAAUUGUCUUUCUCCACUAGAGAAAAAUACUUUAUCUGUCCCUUUAAAAUAAAUGGCCAGACAUCAGUUUCGGCCUCUGAAUUUAUGACUCUGGUAGCAGCCUUCAGUCUCCGGGUCAGAGUCCAGUCAGUAUUUACAUUUGGGUUCUUGUGGAAAUGUUGUGGUUCUAUUUUAGCACAAGUAGCUCAUGGUUUUUAAUCCCAAAUCAAGUAUUUUCCAUCUUCUGAGUCCCUGUGCGUUGUCUCCCUCUGUCUGUUGUUGCCCAGAAAGUGGGAUGGUAGCGAGGGAGGAAGUGCUCGCUGCACAGAGACUGUCAGGCCAUACUUGGGACUGGGCAAACGAGCUUGCACUGAGCGGUGGUGUGUUUGGCAAUAUUACUGUGCCAAAAAUAAUCCUUGUCUCAUUUUCUGGAUGUGUGAUGUCAAACUUUUUACCCUUACUGCAAGCUGAACAUUAAAGUACUUGUGUUUAUGCUUUUGUGUGUAACUGUUUGCCUUUCCUGACCUGCUUUUCUUGUUACCUGAAAGUACAGUUCUGUAACACAUGUCAAGUGAAAAGGUUUUCCAUGCUCAAGAUCACCUGUGUAGCUCUGCAGUCAGUGUUGUGCAUUGUUUUGUCUCUGUCCUGAUGGCAACGGUGCCUUUGUCACCUUUCAGAAGGUUGGCUUUUUUUUUUUUUUAAUGCAAGUAAUAGCUUGCUUCGACUUCACAAAAAAAAAAAAAAAAAGAAAAGUGAAAUAUAUAUAUAUAUCCCCAGUAAUGAUAGAUAAGUUACCACCCAGGCUCUGUUUUUUGUUUGUUUGGCUUUUUGUUUUGUUUUGUUUUCUUCCCCUUUCCCCCCAAUCAGAACAGACACAGUUGGUGGGGACAGUAAUGUGUGGAGUCUUGAAACCAGGAGUGUUUUUCCAUUUACAAACUGACUCAUCGCCAAGCGGCUGGGUUGGAGAACUUUCUUGGCUUGUCUCUCAGGAGGCAAGGGUCUGCUACAGGUGGUGGGGGCGUGAGUCAGCACAAUCCCAUCUCGUGGCUAUGCCUACUCUAUGGUGCAGGCGCACCUCAUCUGUGCCUCAGUUUCCCCGGGGCAUUCUUGUCAGCCAGUUAAUCUACUAGCUCUUAGGCAGUAAAUGCAAUGUGUUGUGGUUUGGUUUUUUUUUUUCCUUUAAAAUUUUAUACUGUCUUGUUUAAAGUCUUCUGAAUGUAUGUGUAUGUGUUAUUAAAACUUUUUUCUCAGCUUAAA